rnacentral:rRNA from 1 species
UACAGGGGGUGCAAACGUUGCUCGGAAUCAUUGGGCGUAAAGCGCACGUAGGCGGUUCGUUAUGUCGGAUGUGAAAGCCCUUGGCUUAACCGAGGAAGUGCAUCCGAAACUGGCGAGCUAGAGUACGAAAGAGGAUCGCGGAAUUCCCGGUGUAGAGGUGAAAUUCGUAGAUAGUCGGGAGGAACACCGGUGGCGAAGGCGGCGAUCUGGGUCGAUACUGACGCUGAGGUGCGAAAGCGUGGGGAGCAAACAGG